CGGCGUGCCUAAUACAUGCAAGUCGAACGGUCUUUCUAUGGAAGCUUGCUUCCACUGAGAAGAUAGUGGCGAACGGGUGAGUAACACGUGGGUAACCUGCCCAUAAGAGGGGGAUAACAUCCGGAAACGGGUGCUAAUACCGCAUAGUUUUCUUGAUCGCAUGAUCGGGAAAGGAAAGACGGCCUUUGUGCUGUCGCUUAUGGAUGGACCCGCGGCGUAUUAGUUAGUUGGUGAGGUAACGGCUCACCAAGACGAUGAUACGUAGCCGACCUGAGAGGGUGAUCGGCCACAUUGGGACUGAGACACGGCCCAAACUCCUACGGGAGGCAGCAGUAGGGAAUCUUCCGCAAUGGACGAAAGUCUGACGGAGCAACGCCGCGUGAGUGAAGAAAGGUUUUCGGAUCGUAAAACUCUGUUGUCAGAGAAGAACAAGUUGGAGAGUAACUGCUCCAGCCUUGACGGUAUCUGACCAGAAAGCCACGGCUAACUACGUGCCAGCCGCUGC
rnacentral:rRNA from 1 species